UACGUAGGGUGCAAGCGUUGUCCUGAAUUAUUGGGCGUAAAGAGCUCGUAGGCGGUUUGUUGCGUCGGCUGUGAAAUCCCGAGGCUCAACCUCGGGUCUGCAGUCGAUACGAGCAAACUAGAGUGUUGCAGGGGAGACUGGAAUUCCUGGUGUAGCGGUGAAAUGCGCAGAUAUCAGGAGGAACACCGGUGGCGAAGGCGGGUCUCUGGGCAACAACUGACGCUGAGGAGCGAAAGCGUGGGGAGCGAACAGG
rnacentral:rRNA from 1 species